GCCAGUGCAAGAUGUGAGGAUUCCUUACCAGCAGAAAAGAAUGUUUGGGUUUGUCACUUUUGUUUAUCCGCAGACUGUAAAGAUAAUCUUGGCCAAAGGGAACCCUCAUUUUGUAUGUGAUGCUAGAGUGCUUGUUAAGCCUUACAAGGAGAAAGGCAAAGUUCCAGAAAAGUACAGGAAGCAACAGCAGCUGCAAGCAGAGAGGGGAGAGUUCUCACCAUGUGCUACCCUUACUUGUCUUGAUUCAAGAGAACCUUUUGAUCUCCAGCUUGGUUGGCAAUGCAUAUUACAUGCUAACCGUUUAAUUUGUAUUUAGAGAGAGAUUCAUAUCUAAUGCAUUUUCUUUUUCCUUGAAAUUUAGGAGCAAAAAUGUUUUGCAUUCCUGAAGACAUGUUUUGGAGGAGGAAACUAGAGGAACAAGCUGAUUUGCAACAAGCACUUGAGCUUCAAAAUAGAAGAUUGAUGAGUUUACAACUACUUGAUGUCAAGAAAGAUCACCACCACAGAGCGCUUUCAGCUGGAAGCCCAAUUCCUUCUUCCACACAUACUUCCAAUUUUUGCAAUCAUUCUCAAGCAUUUUCUUCACUUCACAGCAGCAGUGAAGUUCCCAAAGAGAAUAAUUGUAGCUUGGGGCCAUCCAUUUCUGUGUCUGCUCCACCUGAAAAGCAGACAUCAGGUGUUGCUUCUGCUAAAGAAUUCACUGGUGGUGAGGAGAAUGGCAGUGGGAAAGGGGGCUUCCAUGGUUUACAAGAGAGUUUGGAGCACAAUCUUCCUGAUAGUCCCUUUGCUUCUCCUACUAAAGAAUCUGGAGAGUACUUCUGUGCCUUCAUAAAUGGGGCUAGUGAAACUGAGAAGGACGCAACCACUGUGCCACCAUCUUCUGCUAACAACAAUUUGGUCACGUCAACUUUCAUGCCUGCUAGUUCUUCUAUAGAAAUGACGUCCUUCAAAUCCUUCAACUGCCAAUUACCUAGGUUCUCAUCUGGUCAUGGAUCCAUCAGUAUGUAUGCCGGCACAGGUGGACCGACCUGCCCUGUUGGAAUUUAGCUUCCUAAUUUUUAGGGUGGUCGAGGAGUAUAACUAAACAAAACUCCCAUCAAAGAUAUGUAGAGAACCACCGUCGUCACCAGUGACUACCUUUACAACGUGUAUCGUCAUCCUGAUAACUACGUGCUUGCUACCAUAAAAAUUGCAUACGUGAAAGGCAGUAAGGAAGUGGUUUAGCCGUUCCUUUCUUUGUUUUACUAUUUUUAUCACUCAUCUGAGUAGUUGAAGUAAGUUGGACCACAGGUAAUUAAAGAAAGCCAAGGAAGAAAAAAUUAGGAAAACAUAUAUACUUAAUAUACACUAGUUGUAACGUUUAUGGAACUGUAAUUUCCUCCCUUUUUUAGCCUGUUUUCUACCACUGCUGUCUUCCUUGGAAGAAACAAAUUAUAAAGAAAGCCUAUGUUUGGUGCAGUUUGAUACUUAGUCUGUGUCUUUGGGUAUAAUCACAAUCCAUUUACGGUAGCGGCAGCUUGUAAAAAGCCAAGAAAACUGGAAAAAGGAGGUUCAUUGUAAAAAAUUUGGUGCUAGGACGUGGUGCUUGAAGAAGGGCACAGUAAUUAGCAAAUUAUAGACAAGUGAAGCUUCAGCCUUGUAUGUACGAUAUUUCGGGCUUUUCACUAUCAUUUGUAGCGUUGUAUGACGUUUUAAGUUUUUAUUGAUUGCCAUACAGAAAAGUAAAUAUUCAGCCAAAGGAUCAUUUGCAAAGAAAAAUGGAAUUUUCUUAUACAUGCUCCCUUGGCCUGUAGUGUUGCCUGACGGCCAGGACUUUGUCACUUUGCUCGAAAGAGUUGUGUUUCUUCACUUAUGCCAUUGUGUGAUAUUUUAUCCAAGUGGGGUCUGUCUAAAUUUUGCCAUUCAUUGAGGGGGAGGAAAGAGGAAACAGGGUCCCAUAACGCACAACAUAGCACGGAGUGCUGACAUUGCAGGUGGGUCCUACUUUAUUUAUAUAGUGCCAGGUUGUUCGUGGGUCCUAUCCGCGUACACCCACCCAUGUGAUGCCCUCUACUUCACUCUCGUCUUCACCAGGAGCCAUAUGGUCUUUAUUACUUUUGCUUGUUGACAGGAAAGGACAGAUCUAAAAGUUGAUGUGAUGCGACGGGUAUGAUAAAAGUAACUAUUGGGGGAAUCUUUUGGAGUUCGUGUGCAGCGGUGGACGUGUCAUCUAUUAUGUGUUUUGUGUUGUUUUUACAGUUUUUUCUUUUUUACAGUUUUAUCGCCCACCAACUGCUCCUGUUUUCUUUUACGCCUGUUUUUGAAAUUUUUUAGGAAAAUAAAGAGAAAAAAUAAAAUUAUUCUCCUUU
rnacentral:misc_RNA from 1 species